UUUAUUCUUCACAUACUUAUGUGUCAUCUACUGUAUCCUGAGCUGCUGGGGUAAAGAGAAAGAAUUCCUGUCUUCAAGGAAAAUCAGACAAGCUGUUGGGGAGUGCAUUAUACACACAAAGAAAUCAAGAUGUUGUGAUAUGUGCUACAAGGAAGCACCUAGAACUCAGAAAAUUACUACCUGUUCAAUAUUAAGUUGGAGAGCAAGGGCUGGAAUCCAGGUCUCUCCGAUCCAAGGUUCCACGUUCUUCCUACCAGGUCCUGGAUCCUACAUGGAAUUGAAUCAUCCUCCAUCAUAAUUACCGGAAGCAUUUGAAGCAGCUGUUGCCUCCUCC
rnacentral:lncRNA from 1 species